rnacentral:rRNA from 1 species
CGGGUCCACCUCCCACCCGUGUUUAUUUUACCUUGUUGCUUCGGCGGGCCCGCCUUUACUGGCCGCCGGGGGGCUCACGCCCCCGGGCCCGCGCCCGCCGAAGACACCCUCGAACUCUGUCUGAAGAUUGAAGUCUGAGGGAAAAUAUAAAUUAUUUAAAACUUUCAACAACGGAUCUCUUGGUUCCGGCAUCGAUGAAGAACGCAGCGAAAUGCGAUACGUAAUGUGAAUUGCAAAUUCAGUGAAUCAUCGAGUCUUUGAACGCACAUUGCGCCCCCUGGUAUUCCGGGGGGCAUGCCUGUCCGAGCGUCAUUGCUGCCCUCAAGCCCGGCUUGUGUGUUGGGCCCCGUCCUCCGAUUCCGGGGGACGGGCCCGAAAGGCAGCGGCGGCACCGCGUCCGGUCCUCGAGCGUAUGGGGCUUUGUCACCCGCUCUGUAGGCCCGGCCGGCGCUUGCCGAUCAACCCAAAUUUUUAUCCAGGUUGACCUCGGAUCAGGUAGGGAUACCCGCUGAACUUAAGCAUAUCGAUAAGCGGAGGAA